ACGCUACGGCGGGCUUACACCUGCAAGUCUAAGGGGCACAUGAGGUCUAUGUUCUUAGAUUACCGAUGGCGACCGGCGAACGGGUGCGUAACACGUACGUAACUUACCUUUUGCUAGAAAAUAGCCUGAGGAAACUUGGAUUAAUAUUCUACUAACAUAGUAUUAUUGCAUGAUAAUAUUAUUAAAGCAGAUAUGCGGCAAAAGAUAGGCGUGCGUCUGAUUAGUUAGUUGGUAGGGUAAAAGCCUACAAAGACAAUGAUCGGUAGGGGGCCUGAGAGGGUGAUCCCCCACACUGGUACUGAGAUACGGACCAGACUCCUACGGGAGGCAGCAGUGAGGAAUAUUGGUCAAUGGAGGAAACUCUGAACCAGCCACGCCGACGUGCAGGAAGAAGGCCCUAUGGGUUGUAAACUGCUUUUGUAUAGGAAUAAAAAUUCUUACGAGAUAAGAAUCAUGAAGGUACUAUACGAAUAAGUGUCGGCAACUCCGUGCCAGCAGCCGCGGUAAUACGGAGGACACAAGCGUUAUCCGGAUUUACUUGGGUUUAAAGGGUGCGUACGCGGUUUAAUUAACGUCCAGUAGUGAAAUGUUUGCCAGCUUAACUUGUUCAAAAUGGCUAUUGAUACUGAUAAAGCUGGAAGUGAGCAUUGGAGUAAGCUCGGAAUUGUGUGGUGUAGCGGUGAAAAUGGCUUAAUAUCACACCAGAA
rnacentral:rRNA from 1 species